UUUCCCUACCAUCUUUCCCCUUGAAAGAGAAUCUAGUGGCCAACAUUAAGAUAUUUCAUAUUUAAAUAAUUAAUUAUUUUUAUAAAAAAUCAAUCAAACCCUUUGUUAAAAUUGAAAAAUGGAUAUAAAUCCUUUUAUCUUUAUAAUAUUUUGAAUUUUUUAAAAAUAUUUAAAAAUAUUAAUAACUUCACCAUAUUCC
rnacentral:lncRNA from 1 species